UACGUAGGGGGCUAGCGUUGUCCGGAUUUAUUGGGCGUAAAGAGCGUGUAGGCGGCCAGGUAGGUCUGGUGUGAAAACUCGAGGCUUAACCUCGAGAUGUCAUCGGAAACCAUCUGGUUAGAGUCCGGAAGAGGAGAGUGGAAUUCCUGGUGUAGCGGUGAAAUGCGCAGAUAUCAGGAAGAACACCAAUGGCGAAAGCAGCUCUCUGGGACGGUACUGACGCUGAGACGCGAAAGCGUGGGGAGCGAACAGG
rnacentral:rRNA from 1 species